rnacentral:rRNA from 1 species
AAUUCCUUGUCGGGUAAGUUCCGACCUGCACGAAUGGUGUAACGAUCUGGGCACUGUCUCAACCAUGAGCUCGGUGAAAUUGUAGUCUCGGUGAAGAUGCCGGGUACCCGCAACGGGACGAAAAGACCCCGUGCACCUUUACUAUAGCUUCGCAUUGAAUUUGGGUAAAUGAUGUGUAGGAUAGGUGGGAGACGUUGAUCUGGCUUCGCUAGGAGUUAGUUAGUCGUCCUUGAAAUACCACCCUUUAUUUGCUUGAAUUCUAAUCCGCCAAGGGCGGAGACAUUGCGUGGUGGGUAGUUUGACUGGGGUGGUCGCCUCCAAAAGAGUAUCGGAGGCUUCUAAAGGUUCCCUCAGCACGCUUGGUAACCGUGCGUAGAGUGCAAUGGCACAAGGGAGCUUGACUGUGAGACCGACAAGUCGAGCAGGUACGAAAGUAGAGCAUAGUGAUCCGGUGGUUCCGCAUGGAAGGGCCAUCGCUCAACGGAUAAAAGGUACUCUGGGGAUAACAGGCUGAUCUCCCCCAAGAGCUCAUAUCGACGGGGGGGUUUGGCACCUCGAUGUCGGCUCAUCGCAUCCUGGGGCUGGAGAAGGUCCCAAGGGUUGGGCUGUUCGCCCAUUAAAGUGGCAC